rnacentral:rRNA from 1 species
CAUGGUUGUCGUCAGCUCGUGUCGUGAGAUGUGGUUAAGUCCCGCAACGAGCGCAACCCUCGACCUUAGUUGCCAGCAUUCAGUUGGGCACUCUAAGGUGACUGCCGGCUAAAAGUCGGAGGAAGGUGGGGAUGACGUCAAAUCAUCAUGCCCCUUAUGACCUGGGCUACACACGUGCUACAAUGGUUGGUACAACGAGUUGCGAGUCGGUGACGGCGAGCUAAUCUCUUAAAGCCAAUCUCAGUUCGGAUUGUAGGCUGCAACUCGCCUACAUGAAGUCGGAAUCGCUAGUAAUCGCGGAUCAGCACGCCGCGGUCGAAUACGUUCCGGGCCUU